GCGGAUAUGGCGGAAUAGGCAGACGCGUUAGAUUCAGGUUCUAAUCUGAGUAAUCAGGUGGAGGUUCAAGUCCUCUUAUCCGCA
rnacentral:tRNA from 1 species